rnacentral:lncRNA from 1 species
GUCUACAGGCCUGGCUGGAGCUGGGGAGAGACGCUCAGCCCUGCCCCCCCCGGCUCCUUGUGCUCGCAGCCCUUCCUGGAGGAGAGGCGCGGAGGCUGCCCCCACUCCAAGCUGCCGGGCCCGGAGACAGAGCCACCCAGCCGCCCGCACCAAGAUAGCACAGAGCCCCCUCCCUCCAGGAAGUCAGUGUCCUGUGCUCCUGAGCGUCCCCCUGAGGCCGAGGAGCGCAAGAGCGACCGCAGGGAGAAUCGCAGCAGCACUUUCUUUGGGUACCGGCGGCAGGAGCAGCGCCAGUCCAUCUUGGAGCCCCCGGAGCCCAAGGAGGAGAAGUGGAGACUCUCCUGGAACAUGACUGAGAGCUGCCUGGCCGGUGCCGAGGGAAAACAGUCACCCCUGGAGAGAGAUGCCAGCGCUGCAUCCCCUAGUGCAACAGGGGCGUCAGGAUCCCCCCGGGGCUUCGCAGGUCGGGUGAAGAGCGCCAGCAAGGCCCCCCCACUGCCCCGCAAAAUCAGCUCCAGCGUCUAUGAGACCUUCAUGGAGCAGAACGCCACACCCAACAGUGGGAAGGUACUGGCCACGACCUGGGCUGCAGGAUCUCCCCAGAGCCACAUGGGGUGCAGGGCCCAGCCCCCCGUCACUCACUAAUGCUUGUUCCUCUUUGUUUUAGCAGCUGACAGUGGAUGGAAGUAAAGGGCUGAAAUCACCACCCCCGCCACCCCUCAAAUCCAAGCGCAUAUCCCAGGCCUGACCUGGCCCACUGCCCGCGAUCGGCUCCCUCGCUGUCCCACUCAGGAGGGUGACUUUGCUGAUGAAGGUGUUUGCUGGCUGCUUGGCACACCCCCCCCCCCCCCCCCCNGGCCAGACUCAGUCGUCUUUCCUAUGGCAGCCUGAGCAUCCCACCACCCCCGCACCCUGGUUCCCGUGUGCUUGGAGCUGCAGAAGCCCCAGCCUAGCCCAGCCUCCCUCUCACAGGAGGCACCAGCCUAGGUCAGGCCUAGGG